UACGUAGGGUGCAAGCGUUGUCCGGAAUUAUUGGGCGUAAAGAGCUCGUAGGCGGUCUGUCGCGUCGGCUGUGAAAACCUGGGGCUUAACUCCGGGCUUGCAGCCGAUACGGGCAGACUAGAGUUCGGCAGGGGAGACUGGAAUUCCUGGUGUAGCGGUGAAAUGCGCAGAUAUCAGGAAGAACACCUAUGGCGAAGGCAGCUCUCUGGGACGGUACUGACGCUGAGACGCGAAAGCGUGGGGAGCGAACAGG
rnacentral:rRNA from 1 species